rnacentral:lncRNA from 1 species
AUAUAAACUUGAUCAAAAUUUAGAAAAUUUGACCCGGGACAUAUACGCAUACAUAUGGGAGAUUUGAUCAUUUACCCCACUUUACUUUGCACUUCGAUGAUUUGUCCCGCCCUGUCUGUCACUUACCUGUGGGUAUGGAGCAAACGAUGAGGGUCACACAUCAUCAAAUCCGACGCAUACGUAGCCAGCAAAUUAUGAGGGUCAACAUUUAUGCAUAAGCGGUACAUACGGAGCCAUUCAGUACUCUAGCUUCCCGGUUACAAAGAGCACACACCUCUCAGUUUCUCACUGCCUCGUAUACUAGGGGAGAUACACUCAUAUAAGUAAAGUCGCCGUACGUAAACACGUGGAUAUACGUACGUACCUCUACGGCAUAGACAGAGAAAGCAAGCAGCGACCAAUUCGGAGUAUAAAUGUGCUAGAGAUCUUCGCAGCUGACAGAUUAUAGAUCCAUUUCACCCUGCGAGCACGUAUGUAAGGGCACUCCUUAUUUCUUAGGCGGCGGGCGCGCAGUCAUAGUCGUCAUCAUCGUCAUCGUCGUCCGCCUCGGCCUUCCUAUGCGGCGACCCGCCGCAACACGCGUCACACGGCGCUGCGGCGUAAACGGCAUAGGAGACAAUGCCGCCGUCGUGGGCGAGGUGGCCCAUGACCUUCGACGCCGGUGCCAUAAGAAGCUUGAAAGAGUAUGCAAGCGAAUCACAGGCUGAUCGCGAGUAUGCCGGCCAGCUUGAGUGAGCACUCAGCUCAGUACACUGCACAGCGCGCGACUCGUUGUAGUCUAGUACUGAUGCUGCUGACUGACGGCCGGGUGCUGUUGUUGACUUGUUGGUGCUAAUGCUUAGCUAGCUGUGUGUUGGUGUGUG